GAUGUUAUGAGUCAGUACCCUUACCAGA
rnacentral:sRNA from 1 species